rnacentral:lncRNA from 1 species
AUGUGUGUGUGUGUGCACAUGUGUGCACAUCCAUGCACUUUUUGUGCACCGUGUGUGCCUGUGUGCACGUGUGCUCCCAGCUGCUUGCCUUUGUUUCCACGUCCCCGUGUCCCCGUGUCCCCGUGUCCCCGUGUCCCCGUGCCGUUGGUCCCCGUGUGUGCACGCACACGUGCAGGUGUGUUUGUGCGUCCGGCGGCUGUUUGUAUACAGGUAGCAGCGUGUGUAUGUUGGCCUGGGGCUGCGUCCGUCGGCGCGCCUGGCUUGCCCCGGCUGCGCUUCCGCUGCCGUGCGUGUGUGCACGUGUGUGGUCCGUGUGCCGGGGGUGUGCAAGGAGCAGGCGUGCUGCAUGGGGCUGCGCAUGGGUGGUCCCUGCCAGGGGCGUUGGUGUGCGGGUGUGCUUGGGGGGGGCAUGGGCAGCGUGUGGGUGGGUGUGCACAUGUGUGUGGGUGCAGAUGUGUGCAAACGUGUGCAUGCAAGUGUGUGCCUGCAUGUAUGUGCACGUGUGUGUGCAACCUCGUGCGUGCAUGUGCGUGCGUGCACGUGAGUGAGCAUGGAUGUGCGUUCAUGGGUGUGCGCAUCCGUGUGUGUGCAUGCAAGUGUUUGUGCGUGCAUGCGUGUGUGUGCAUGCAAUUGUGUGCAUGCGUGUGUGUCUGCAUGUGUGUGCAUGCACUCACGUGUGUGCAAGGCCCUGAGGUUUUUUUAGGGCCAUGUCCCCAUGAAGGAAGCAGGGAGCCCCAGCCCACCAUUGGAGCCACCACUUGGAGCAGGGGGUCCCCAUGUCCCCCCCUGGCCAUGCGGCGUGUCCAUGNNNNNNNNNNGUGUGUGCAUGCACUCACGUGUGUGCAAGGCCCUGAGGUUUUUUUAGGGCCAUGUCCCCAUGAAGGAAGCAGGGAGCCCCAGCCCACCAUUGGAGCCACCACUUGGAGCAGGGGGUCCCCAUGUCCCCCCCGGCCAUGUGGCAUGUCCAUGUGUCCCCGUGUUCCCGUGUCCCUGUGUCCCCGUGUCCCCGUGUCCCCGUGUCCCCGCUGUCAGGACGGGGCCGUGCUGUUUACCCCAGCGGUGUGCAGAGCAGAGGAAGGUCACCUCACUCCUCCUCAGACUAUACACACCGGGGGCAGACGUCCUGCACGUCCCCGGGGGGGGUCAGGAGGUGACACACCGCAUGGUGGCACGUGGCCCUGGGUCUGGGACAUCCCCAUCAUCCCCUGA